CAAGGCUUGACAUGGACUGGUAAUACCUGGAAACAGGUGCCCCGCUUGCGGCCGGUUUACAGGUGGUGCAUGGUUGUCGUCAGCUCGUGUCGUGAGAUGUUGGGUUAAGUCCCGCAACGAGCGCAACCCUCAUUGCUAGUUGAAUCUCUCUAGCGAGACUGCCACGAUCAACGUGGAGGAAGGUGGGGAUGACGUCAAGUCAGCACGGCCCUUACAUCCUGGGCGACACACACGCUACAAUGGCCGCGACAACGCGCAGCAAACCCGCGAGGGGGAGCGAAUCGCAUCAAACGCGGUCUCAGUUCGGAUUGCAGGCUGCAACUCGCGGGCAUGAAGUCGGAGUUGCUAGUAACCGCUGGUCAGCACACAGCGGUGAAUAUGUUCCC
rnacentral:rRNA from 1 species